GCAUAAGGCUGGAAUCUACAAUAAAUGUAGUAAACCUUAAGCAGUAAGAAAUUAAAUUGCAAAUGCCUCGUUGCUAGUUGACAGUUGCGGGUUAAUCAAUCAGAUCAAAUUUUCCAUUCUGAUGAAAUGCAGUGCCACGAUGGAAAUAGAUGAUGCAACGUGCAGCUGCGCAUGCGCAGUUAUUUUCACGUGGGACAAAAUAUACUUGUCCCAUUCUAACUUAUUGCACCAGUGUGCACUAGUUCAUUAAUGCAGGAGCAGAAAACCAGCCUAAUAUGGAGUUUGUUUUUUAUUACUGCACUGGUGAACUAGUGCAAUAAAUUAAAAUGAGACAAGUAUAUUUGGUUAUAGAAUGACUCGCACUGUGAAGAAGGUCCGUAAAAUUUUCCAAAAACUUUCCACGUUGCAGAAAGACAAAAAUUAAGAAGACUGUAUUCGUGAAGCUUGAUGGGAAUAAGAUAAGCCUGAAUGUGUAAACGCAACUCAUUUUAAGUAGGAGUUAUAACAUCAGUGUUACUAAGCCAAAGUUACAAGCCAUGUAAACGUAUUCAAUGUUGUUUCUUUUCAUAACAAAGAACUUAAAUGCACAAUUGUAGUA